rnacentral:rRNA from 1 species
UACGGAGGGAGCUAGCGUUGUUCGGAAUUACUGGGCGUAAAGCGCACGUAGGCGGCUUUGUAAGUUAGAGGUGAAAGCCCGGAGCUCAACUCCGGAAUUGCCUUUAAGACUGCAUCGCUCGAAUCCAGGAGAGGUGAGUGGAAUUCCGAGUGUAGAGGUGAAAUUCGUAGAUAUUCGGAAGAACACCAGUGGCGAAGGGCGGCUCACUGGACUGGUAUUGACGCUGAGACGGCGAAAAGCGCGGGGAGCGAACGGGG